ensembl:lncRNA
AAUCUGAUGGAACAUUUCAACCCUGACCUACAGAAGAUGGUCAGCUUAGGAAACAGCUAUGUUAAAGCAUUCCAAUCUCUUGCAGUGACCAGCGAGGCCUACUUUAGUGCGGUGGCUAAGAUGGGAGAGCAGGCUCUGCAUACAUUUUCAUCUCGCUCCCUGGGUAAGAGAGCUCGUGGGCAUGUGUGUGUUAAGGUUCUGAGAGCUCGUGGGCAUGUGUGUGUUAAGGUUCUGAGAGCUCGUGGGCAUGCGUGUGUUAAGGUUCUGAGAGCUCGUGGGCAUGCGUGUGUUAAGUUUCUG